rnacentral:rRNA from 1 species
GAUGAACGCUAGCUACAGGCUUAACACAUGCAAGUCGAGGGGCAGCAUGAAAGGAACUUCGGUUCUUUUUGAUGGCGACCGGCGCACGGGUGCGUAACGCGUAUCGAACCUGCCUCAUACUCGGGGAUAGCCUUGCGAAAGUAAGAUUAAUACCCGGCGGUCUCGGAUGGCCGCAUGACUAUCCGAGUGAAGAUUUAUCGGUAUGAGAUGGCGAUGCGUCCCAUUAGCUAGUUGGUGAGGUAAUGGCUCACCAAGGCAUCGAUGGGUAGGGGCUCUGAGAGGAAGGUCCCCCACAUUGGAACUGAGACACGGUCCAAACUCCUACGGGAGGCAGCAGUGAGGAAUAUUGGUCAAUGGACGAAAGUCUGAACCAGCCAAGUAGCGUGCAGGAUGACGGCCCUCUGGGUUGUAAACUGCUUUUAGUUGGGAAUAAAAAGAGGGACGUGUCCCUUAUUGUAUGUACCAUCAGAAAAAGGACCGGCUAAUUCCGUGCCAGCAGCCGCGGUAAUACGGAAGGUCCAGGCGUUAUCCGGAUUUAUUGGGUUUAGAGGGAGCGCAGGCGGCGGCGUAAGUCAGUUGUGAAAUCGUGCGGCUUAACCGUGCAAUUGCAGUUGAUACUGCGUCGCUUGAGUGCACACAGGGAUGUUGGAAUUCAUGNUGUAGCGGUGAAAUGCUUAGAUAUCAUGAAGAACUCCGAUCGCGAAGGCAUAUGUCCGGAGUGCAACUGACGCUGAGGCUCGAAAGUGUGGGUAUCAAACAGG